AGAAGCCUGUGAGCUCAGCGCCCAGGCAGGUCUCCCUUCCUCAGGCCGCGGAUCCUCGCUCUGCACAGUAGGGGGCGGGCUGUUCCUUUCCGGCCUGAGGAGGCCCCUGGCUUCCCGCGCCGACGUUUGACGUGUGGCAGGGACCCGAUUAGCGUUUCUUCAUCUCAGAUGGAGAUGUGUGUUGUGCAGAGACCGUGGCUGGGGCGCCACGAGGCUGCCCGACUGCAGGCGCCCGGCGGAACCCUCGCUCAGCCACUCGCUCCGCGCAGUCAGCUCUGCUGACUCUUCCGGAGGAUUCUGGAAGGUUCCAGAGGGUGUGCCGCCGAGGCCCUGCGAGAGGGCGUUCCCUGGGGAGAACAUUCCAGAGCAAGGUAACAUCCAUAAACGGAGGCUGAAACGGCCUGAGACGUCUCGGGAGUAACGAAGACCCCAAGGCGGCCCCAACUUGAGGGGGGCGAGGGAGAAUUUGGAAUCUUUGCUCAGACAGAGCCACGUGGCCACUGGACAUUUACCACCGCAGCCUCAGGCUUCCUUAUCAGCCGCCUCCAUCCAUGGUGACCUCAGGGGCAGGGCUGCAUGGAGAGGGGCGGCCCCUGCGACCCCCGCCGCCAGCCCGCCGGCCCUUGCCUGUUCUUCCAGGGCAAGCGUUUAAAGUCUCCGUGCUUCGUCUCAAAAACUAAGGUGAGUCCUGGAAGCAGCGAAAACAUAGUUCAGUUUCAAGGACCAUCAUCUGCAGAAUGAGACCACGGCCUUGAUGCAGCCGCCAGGACAAGCUGAAGCCCUGGCCCCUGCUCUGUUGAGAGCGGAUGGUACUGACUCUUCACAGCCAGGCCUGGCCGCCCACCAGAGCUCAGCGGCUGCUGGCUCCCUUGCCUCUGUGAGAGGCCGGCUCUCCGCACCCGCCUGGGGCUGUCAGUGCCCUGAUGACUCCAGGAUGGCCCUCCCCAAGUGUCAUGAAAACUCAGAGGCCUGAGGCCCAGCACAGGGUGACCGACACUGGCGCCUCUGAUGGUCCAAGCUGAACCCACGUGGAGGAGAGAGGACAGUCGCCCACCACUCCGAGACAUGCCUGUGGGUCACCAAGUGCACCGGUGCCCCUCACCUUGGUGUUCAUGACGGUUCAGGUGACUGUCCAGAAGUGUGUUGGUCAUGUGUUUGGAGGGAUUAAUUGGAAAUGGCGUUUUCUCUAAAUUUUUCUCUCUCAAA